AAUAUAGAUACAGGUUAAAGCCUGUGACUGUUUCUACAAUUCCUCCUUCCCACUCCCAUGUGUCUCCCUUUCUCUCUGUCCCUCUCUAUCUCACACUAGAGCUCCAUCAAUAAACCUAGGUCUCCUGUAAUGAAUACAACAUUUCAAACUCCUCUCAUCAAAUUAUAUUUCUGAUAAAUAUAGAUUUAAUAUUGUUUUUAACAGAUAUUGUUUUGUUUAUCUUACUUAUUUUUAAUAGUUUAGGAUGCUUCUUUUUAACUGCCU